rnacentral:rRNA from 2 species
GUGAACGGCCAUAGCGGCCUGGUCCUACCCGAUCCCAUUUCGAACUCGGAAGUCAAGCAGGCCAACGUUUUGCACUGUACUGCGUUUUACGCGGGAACCGCAGAAAGCUGUUCACA